UACAGAGGGUGCAAGCGUUAAUCGGAAUUACUGGGCGUAAAGCGUGCGUAGACGGUUAUGUAAGUCGGGUGUGAAAGCCCCGGGCUCAACCUGGGAAUGCCAUUCGAAACUGCAUAGCUAGGGUGCGGAAGAGGGAAGCGGAAUUUCCGGUGUAGCGGUGAAAUGCGUAGAUAUCGGAAGGAACACCAGUGGCGAAAGCGGCUUCCUGGUCCAGCACCGACGUUCAGGCACGAAAGCGUGGGGAGCAAACAGGAUUAGAUACCCUGGUAGUCCACGCCAUAAACGAUGAGAACUAGACGUUGAGAGGGUAAGCCUCGCAGUGUCGUAGCUAACGCGCUAAGUUCUCCGCCUGGGGAGUACGGCCGCAAGGUUGAAACUCAAAG
rnacentral:rRNA from 1 species